rnacentral:misc_RNA from 1 species
GCCAUAUCAACCAAUCCUUGCUUACAAAGGCCUUGAAUGAGAAUAGAGUACAUGAUAUGAUCCAGUUUACGACCGUUGCUCUCUAUCUCAUGGAACAAAUUCAUAGCUUCAUCUAGACGUCCGCUUUUACACAAACUGCUUAGUAACAUGUUGUCUGAGAUAGCACUGGCAUGGACCCCCUCCUUCGAAAACAUCUCCUUUCUCAACUUAAUACUCUUCUCAUCAAUAUUACCU